AUUGAACGCUGGCGGCAGGCUUAACACAUGCAAGUCGAGCGAGUGGCGGACGGGUGAGUAAUGUCUGGGAAACUGCCUGAUGGAGGGGGAUAACUCCUGGAAACGGUAGCUAAUACCACAUACCAUCUGAUGUGCCCAGAUGGGAUUAGCUAGUAGGUGGGGUAAUGGCUCACCUAGGCGACGAUCCCUAGCUGGUCUGAGAGGAUGACCAGCCACACUGGAACUUAGCCACGGUCCAGACUCCUACGUAAGGCAUCAGUGGGGAAUAUUGCACAAUGGGCGCAAGCCUGGUGCAGCCAUGCCGCGUGUGUGAAGAAGGCCUUCGGGUUGUAAAGCACUUUCAGCGGGGAGGCGUUACUCGCAGAAGAAGCACCGGCUAACUCCGUGCCAGCAGCCGCGGUAAUUC
rnacentral:rRNA from 1 species